rnacentral:rRNA from 1 species
AUUGAACGCUGGCGGCAGGCUUAACACAUGCGAGUCGAGCGGAGAUGAGGUGCUUGCACCUUAUCUUAGCGGCGGACGGGUGAGUAAUGCUUAGGAAUCUGCCAUUUAGUGGGGGACAACAUUCCGAAAGGAAUGCUAAUACCGCAUACGUCCUACGGGAGAAAGCAGGGGAUCUUCGGACCUUGCGCUAAAUGAUGAGCCUAGGUCGGAUUAGCUAGUUGGUGGGGUAAAGGCCUACCAAGGCGACGAUCUGUAGCGGGUCUGAGAGGAUGAUCCUCCACACUGGGACUGAGACACGGCCCAGACGCCUACGGGAGGCAGCAGUGGGGAAUAUUGGACAAUGGGCGGAAGCCUGAUCCAGCCAUGCCGCGUGUGUGAAGAAGGCCUCUUGGUUGUAAAGCACUUUAAGCGAGGAGGAGGCUACUAGUACUAAUACUACUGGAUAGUGGACGUUACUCGCAGAAUAAGCACCGGCUAACUCUGUGCCAGCCGCCGCCGUAAGAC